GAAGAUGCCACAUCUACAUAUGAGACAGAUAAGGCAAGUGAAUAUGAUACCACACUUCAGUACUUAGAAGUUUCAUGAUUACUCAAUAGCUUGGAUCUUGCAAGUCCCCAACCGAGGAGCUUCCCUUACUCGGGAACUUAGGGGAGCACUGUUUGUACCAUACUUGACUAAUCCCGAAACUACUGAGCACCGGUCAACGU
rnacentral:lncRNA from 1 species